AGAGUUUGAUCCUGGCUCAGGAUGAACGCUGGCGGCGUGCUUAACACAUGCAAGUCGAACGAAGCACUUACCAAGGAUUUCCUCGGAAUGACUAAUAAGUGACUGAGUGGCGGACGGGUGAGUAACGCGUGGGUAACCUACCUCACACAGGGGGAUAACAGUUAGAAAUGACUGCUAAUACCGCAUAAGCGCACAGUAUCGCAUGAUACAGUGUGAAAAACUCCGGUGGUGUGAGAUGGACCCGCGUCUGAUUAGCUAGUUGGUGGGGUAACGGCCUACCAAGGCAACGAUCAGUAGCCGACCUGAGAGGGUGAUCGGCCACAUUGGAACUGAGACACGGUCCAAACUCCUACGGGAGGCAGCAGUGGGGAAUAUUGCACAAUGGGGGAAACCCUGAUGCAGCAACGCCGCGUGAACGAUGAAGGCCUUCGGGUCGUAAAGUUCUGUCCUUGGGGAAGAAAAAAUGACGGUACCCUUGGAGGAAGCCCCGGCUAACUACGUGCCAGCAGCCGCGGUAAUACGUAGGGGGCGAGCGUUAUCCGGAAUUAUUGGGCGUAAAGAGUACGUAGGCGGUUUCUUAAGCGCAGGGUCUAAGGCAAUGGCUCAACCAUUGUUCGCCCUGUGAACUGGGAGACUUGAGUAUCGGAGAGGAAAGCGGAAUUCCUAGUGUAGCGGUGAAAUGCGUAGAUAUUAGGAGGAACACCAGUGGCGAAGGCGGCUUUCUGGACGAAUACUGACGCUGAGGUACGAAAGCGUGGGGAGCAAACAGGAUUAGAUACCCUGGUAGUCCACGCCGUAAACGAUGAGCACUAGGUGUCGGGGUCGCAAGACUUCGGUGCCGCAGUUAACGCAUUAAGUGCUCCGCCUGGGGAGUACGCACGCAAGUGUGAAACUCAAAGGAAUUGACGGGGGCCCGCACAAGCAGCGGAGCAUGUUGUUUAAUUCGAAGCAACGCGAAGAACCUUACCAGGUCUUGACAUCGAGGAAAAGCCGUAGAGAUACGGUGUGCCUUCGGGCAUCCGAAGACAGGUGGUGCAUGGUUGUCGUCAGCUCGUGUCGUGAGAUGUUGGGUUAAGUCCCGCAACGAGCGCAACCCUUAUGGUCAGUUACUAACAGUUCGGCUGAGGACUCUGACAAGACUGCCGGGGACAACUCGGAGGAAGGUGGGGACGACGUCAAAUCAUCAUGCCCCUUAUGACCUGGGCUACAAACGUGCUACAAUGGUGACUACAAAGAGAAGCGAGACCGUGAGGUGGAGCGGAUCUCAAAAAAGUCAUCUCAGUUCGGAUUGUGGGCUGCAACCCGCCCACAUGAAGUUGGAGUUGCUAGUAAUCGCGGAUCAGCAUGCCGCGGUGAAUACGUUCCCGGGCCUUGUACACACCGCCCGUCA
rnacentral:rRNA from 1 species